UACGAAGGGGGCUAGCGUUGCUCGGAAUCACUGGGCGUAAAGCGCACGUAGGCGGCUUUCUAAGUAAGGGGUGAAAUCCUGGAGCUCAACUCCAGAACUGCCUUUGAUACUGGAGAGCUUGAGUCCGGAAGAGGUGAGUGGAACUCCGAGUGUAGAGGUGAAAUUCGUAGAUAUUCGGAAGAACACCAGUGGCGAAGGCGGCUCACUGGUCCGGUACUGACGCUGAUGUGCGAAAGCGUGGGGAGCAAACAGG
rnacentral:rRNA from 1 species